rnacentral:rRNA from 1 species
AGCAGCCGCGGUAAUUCCAGCUCCAAUAGCGUAUAUUAAAGUUGUUGCAGUUAAAAAGCUCGUAGUUGAACCUUAGGCCCGUGCGGGCGGUCCGUCCUCUGGGCGAGCACUGCCUCGUCGCGGGUCUCACCUUCUGGCGAGCGUGGAUGCCAUUCAUUUGGUGUCUGCGGGAACCAGGACCUUUACCUUGAAAAAUUAGAGUGCUCAAAGCGGGCUCUUACGCUUGAAUACAUUAGCAUGGAAUAAUGAAAUAGGACGACGGUUCUAUUUUGUUGGUUUCCGGGAUUGUCGUAAUGAUUAAUAGGGAUAGUUGGGGGCAUUCGUAUUCAAUUGUCAGAGGUGAAAUUCUUGGAUUUAUUGAAGACGGACUACUGCGAAAGCAUUUGCCAAGGAUGUUUUCAUUAAUCAAGAACGAAAGUU